rnacentral:tmRNA from 2 species
GGGGGUGUAAAGGUUUCGACAGGGACCUUUAUCUGCCAUAGUCGCAGGCCGGAGUUGGUCGAUGGCUCCGUAAAAAAUCGACCAAAACCAACAAGCCAACGAAACAUUGGCCCUCGCCGCCUAAUUAAGCGGUGACGUUCGCCCCGAGACGCCUGCUAUUGGGGGUCGAACGUCGACAGCAGGCUCGCCCGGUCCCGCACGUCUUGUCGGGACGGGGUUAAAAAACAACAGGGCUGGCAGGCCGGCGGUUCGGUUUAGAGACAACCGUCCUGCGAGAACAAGUCUAAACUAAGCCUGUAGAGGCUGGGCCGGUGGGUUCUUGGACACGGGUUCGAUUCCCGUCACCUCCACCA